rnacentral:rRNA from 1 species
CACGUAGGGCGCAAGCGUUGUCCGGAAUUAUUGGGCGUAAAGAGCUCGUAGGCGGUCUGUUGCGUCCGCUGUGAAAACUCGGGGCUUAACCCCGAGCCUGCAGUGGAUACGGGCAGACUAGAGGUAGGUAGGGGAGAAUGGAAUUCCCGGUGUAGCGGUGAAAUGCGCAGAUAUCGGGAGGAACACCGGUGGCGAAGGCGGUUCUCUGGGCCUUACCUGACGCUCAGGCACGAAAGCGUGGGGAGCAAACAGG